UGGAGGGCAAGUCUGGUGCCAGCAGCCGCGGUAAUUCCAGCUCCAAUAGCGUAUAUUAAAGUUGCUGCAGUUAAAAAGCUCGUAGUUGAAUUUCGGGACCAUCAUGUCGGUCGUGCCUCGGUACGUACUGGUAUUGUUGGUUUCUCCCUUCUGACGAACCAUGAUGUCAUUUAUUUGGUGUUGUGGGGAAUCAGGACUGUUACUUUGAAAAAAUUAGAGUGUUUAAAGCAGGCUCACGCUUGAAUACAUUAGCAUGGAAUAAUGAAAUAGGACGUUUGAUUCUAUUUUGUUGGUUUCUAGGAUCGACGUAAUGAUUAAUAGGGAUAGUUGGGGGCAUUAGUAUUCAAUUGUCAGAGGUGAAAUUCUUGGAUUUAUUGAAGACUAACUACUGCGAAAGCAUUUGCCAAGGAUGUUUUCAUUAAUCAAGAACGAAAGUUAGGGGAUCGAAGACGAUCAGAUACCGUCGUAGUCUUAACCAUAAACUAUGCCGACUAGGGAUCGGAUGAUGUUAAUUUUUUAAUGACUCAUUCGGCGCCUUACGAGAAAC
rnacentral:rRNA from 1 species